AACGUAGGACGCAAGCGUUAUCCGGAGUUACUGGGCGUAAAGAGCGCGCAGGCGGAUGAUUAAGUCGUUUAUGAAAGCCCCUGGCUAAACUGGGGGAGGCUAGACGAUACUGGUUGUCUUGAGUGGGUGAGAGGGAUGUGGAAUUCCGCGUGUAGUGGUGAAAUGCGUAGAGAUGCGGAGGAACACCAGAGGCGAAGGCGGCAUCCUGGCACUCAACUGACGCUGAGGCGCGAAAGCAUGGGUAGCGAACGGG
rnacentral:rRNA from 1 species